rnacentral:lncRNA from 1 species
CUGGCAGACAGACUCCUGAAUUUUGGGUUGAGAAGAUCUAGAAUGAGAAUACUCAAGAACGUUUCAUUUUAAAUUAGACUUUUUCUCCCCCAACCUGGGGAAUGCUUCUUGGUUUUCUUUUAUGCCAACAAAAGAGAAAGGUGAGGCUGCUGGGGGCUGCUGGGAAGACUGUGGCCCUUUUCUCUGUAGCAAGAGGGAUUCUGGGGGCUACUCUGGCUUCCUAAAACCUUGUGGCUCUGUGCGUUGGGUGUGGAAUAAACGUGUGUGUGGAUGAGGUACUCUCUGGCUCCCACCUCAGAACUCCUAUUCCCUUUCUCACUUUAUUUGUCCCCUGGGCACUUAGACAUUGGCAUGCCAUCCUUCUCUCCUGCCUGGGUCUCCGCAGGAACGCAAGACCCCCAGGAGCAGGGAGCCUGCUUCUGUAACUGCUGGGUCUCUGGCACCUAGAAAUGGUGCCAACACACAGAUGGCACUCUGUAAAGGUUUGUGGAAUGACAAAAAGUUUGUCAGCCCCCAGGUGCUGAAUCCCGUGCCCCAGGAACCCAGCGGGAGCAGGAGGAGAAGGAGAGACUCGCCUUGGAAACUCUACAUCCCAGAAAGAUGCAGAGCCUCAGGCCGGAGCAGAUCCGAGGGCUGCUUGAGCCAGAGAGGGCCAAGACGCUGAUGCCCCGGGAGACCAGGGCCUGGGAGAAGCGUGCUGCCCUCACCAAGGACUGGGCAGCUGUGGAGGUUGGGGCCCCUGGCGGUGACGGUGACCUGAAAGGCCUGUCUUCUUCAGAACCCGGGCUGGCACAAGAGUGGAACGCGGUGGAGGGAGAUGAGUCCGAGGACUCGCAGGUAAGCUGGGGGUUCCCUCUUCUUUUACAGAUGUCCACCCCGCAGACC